rnacentral:rRNA from 1 species
AGAGUUUGAUCAUGGCUCAGAAUGAACGCUGGCGGCGUGCUUAACACAUGCAAGUCGAACGAUGAAGCCUUAGCUUGCUAAGGUGGAUUAGUGGCGCACGGGUGAGUAAUAUAUAGAUAAUGUGCCUCUUAGUCUGGGAUAGCCAUUGGAAACGAUGAUUAAUACUAGAUACUCCUUCUUACUCUAAUGUAAGUUGGGAAAGUUUUUUCGCUAAGAGAUCAGUCUAUAUCGCAUCAGUUAGUUGGUGGGGUAAUGGCCUACCAAGACAAUGACGCGUAGCGGGUUUGAGAGGAUGAUCCGCCACACUGGUACUGAGACACGGACCAGACUCCUACGGGAGGCAGCAGUGAGGAAUAUUGCACAAUGGGGGAAACCCUGAUGCAGCAACGCCGCGUGGAGGAUGACGCAUUUCGGUGUGUAAACUCCUUUUAUAUGUCAAGAAAAUGACGGUAGCAUAUGAAUAAGCACCGGCUAACUCCGUGCCAGCAGCCGCGGUAAUACGGAGGGUGCAAGCGUUAUUCGGAAUCACUGGGCGUAAAGGACGCGUAGGCGGGACAGUAAGUCUGAUGUGAAAUCCUAUGGCUUAACCAUAGAACUGCAUUGGAAACUACUGACCUAGAGUAUGGGAGGGGGGAGAUGGAAUUAGUGGUGUAGGGGUAGAAUCCGUAGAGAUCAGAAAGAAUACCGAUUGCGAAAGGCGAUCUACUGGAACAUUAUUGACGCUCAGAUGCGAAAGCGUGGGGAGCAAACAGGAUUAGAUACCCUGGUAGUCACGCCUAAACGAUGCACACUAGUUGUUGCCUUGCUAGACAAGGCAGUAAUGCAGUUAACACAGUAAGUGUGCCGCCUGGGGAGUACGGUCGCAAGAUUAAAACUCAAAGGAAUAGACGGGGACCCGCACAAGCGGUGGAGCAUGUGGUUUAAUUCGACGAUACGCGAAGAACCUUACCUGGCCUUGACAUAGAAAGAACUUACUAGAGAUAGUUUGGUGCUAGCUUGCUAGAACUUUCAUACAGGUGCUGCACGGCUGUCGUCAGCUCGUGUCGUGAGAUGUUGGGUUAAGUCCCGCAACGAGCGCAACCCUCGUGUUUAGUUACUAACAGUUCGGCUGAGGACUCUAGACAGACUGCCUACGCAAGUAGGAGGAAGGUGAGGACGACGUCAAGUCAUCAUGGCCCUUACGGCCAGGGCUACACACGUGCUACAAUGGGGCAUACAAAGAGCCGCAAUACCGUGAGGUGGAGCAAAUCUCAUAAAAUGCCUCCCAGUUCGGAUUGUAGUCUGCAACUCGACUACAUGAAGUUGGAAUCGCUAGUAAUCGUAGAUCAGCUAUGCUACGGUGAAUACGUUCCCGGGUCUUGUACUCACCGCCCGUCACACCAUGGGAGUUGAUUUCAUUCGAAGCGGGGAUGCUAAAAUAGCUACCUUCCACAGUGGAAUUAGCGACUAGGGUGAAGUCGUAACAAGGUAGCCGUA